rnacentral:lncRNA from 1 species
GUAUCCAUUAUCAUUAUCAUUAGAUUCAUCUGAAUACAAUGUAUCCUCAGAACAGACGGAGCUGUCAUCUUUAAUACUGAUGGAUCCUCUGGCUGAGGAGACUGAAGCGCAUUGUCAUUGUCAUUAUCAUUAUCAUUAGAUUCAUCUGAAUACAAUGUAUCCUCAGAACAGACGGAGCUGUCAUCUUUAAUACUGAUGGAUCCUCUGGCUGAGGAGACUGAAGCGCAUUGUCAUUGGCAUUAUCAUUAUCAUUAUCAUUAGAUUCAUCUGAAUACAAUGUAUCCUCAGAACAGACGGAGCUGUCAUCUUUAAUACUGAUGGAUCCUCUGGCUGAGGAGACUGAAGCGCAUUGUCAUUGGCAUUAUCAUUAUCAUUAGGUUCAUCUGAAUACAAUGUAUCCUCAGAACAGACGGAGCUGUCAUCUGUUCCAUUAUCAGACACGGUAUUGAAGAAAGUUCUCUCAUUAGCCGAGAUCACACGGAGGCGAAAUUGAGUUGAAAAUGGCACAUCGGUGCUUUUGCUGAGUGUUGAUGCCAGAAUCUAGAUUCAGUUGUGUUCACACGUCCGACUGCGAAAAUGACGUGAAAAUGGCGGAAAGCGGGGGAAAAAGUGUAAACAAACAAAACAUUUUUUUAUUAUAGUGAAUUUUGUCGCGCUUAUUUCUAGCUUUUUUUAAUAUGUAAGUUGUUAAUUCAAAUUACAAAUAAGUAAUGGAUGGUAUUCUUACGUUCACUUUACUUGCUUGGACGAUUCUGCUGUUGCUUCCCGACCUCAUCAAUGAUCGUGAAAAUAGCGCGGGCCGCGCUAUUUUCAGUAAUCAACAGUCAUCAGCGGAAUCGGUGAGUCAUUUUCACGAAAUCGACUGUCGUGUGAUCUCGGCUAUUAGGAGAAACUGGCACCCAGCGCAGAGCUGGGAUCUUCUGAAGGAGGAGAGGAAUGAGAGGGACCCGGUAUGUCAUCAUGUUUCUUAUAGACGGGGGGGGGGGGGGGGGGGAAAUGAAGCUGGGUUGCUCUGA